rnacentral:lncRNA from 1 species
ACUGUGUGUAAAGAUAUGUGAAACAAUUCUAUGCCAUUCUAAAGUUGUUUGUAUAUCAAAAUGCCCUUUUAUCUUUCUCUUACCAAACGUUAAUUCUUAAAGUAAGUUUUACUAUAUGUAUAUGCUGCUUUGCAAUGUUAUUUUGUAAGCUGUAUUUUAUUUUUGUGUCAGGCUAUCACUGUAGGCCUUGGUAGAUGCUGGUGCUAGCCUAUGGAAUCAGACUAAUGUCCAGUUGCUCAGCUUUAGGACAUGAAGUUCAAGCAAGAAGGAGAACAGACAUAAAACAUAACUGGAAGCUGUGAUGCUCCAAAAAUAUCACAGGAUCGGAUGACACGAAAACCUUCACCAAACUUGGGACCAUGACACCAUUCACACCUGGAUGUGCUGAAAUGGAGGAAACAGCAAGUCAAUAUUUAAUAAAUUUUUACUAAAGACUCUGUGCUAUGCAAGACUCCAAAUAGUAUAAAAUACUGCCCUUACCUUCAUUGAGCUUACCAGCUAGGUGAGUGCUACCCAUUAAGUGAAAG